UUCCGGUUGAUCCCGCCGGAGGCUACCGCUAUUGGAGUUCGAUUAAGCCAUGCGAGUCGCGAGUCUUAGGGACUCGGCGUACCGCUCAGUAACACGUGGGUAACCUGCCCUAUGCUGGGGGAUAACCUCGGGAAACUGAGAAUAAUACCCCAUAGUUCACCACGCCUGGAACGGUGGGUGGAUGAAAGCUCCGGCGGCAUAGGAUGGGCCUGCGGCGUAUCAGGUUGUAGGGGGUGUAAUGUACCCUCUAGCCAUCUACGCGUACGGGUGUUGGGAGACAUCGCCCGGAGAUGGAUUCUGAGACACGAAUCCAGACCCUACGGGGUGCAGCAGGCGCGAAAACUUCGCAAUGCGGGAAACCGUGACGAGGGAACUCCAAGUGUCUAUGCAUUGCAUAGACUGUUUUUUAGCCUAAAUAGCUAUUAGAGUAAGGGGUGGGCAAGACCGGUGCCAGCCGCCGCGGUAACACCGGCACCUCUAGUGGUAGCCACUAUUAUUGGGCCUAAAGCGUUCGUAGCCGGUUUGGUAAAUUCUUGGGUAAAUCGUACCGCUUAACGGUGCGGAUUCCGGGGACACUACCAGACUUGAGACCGGGGGAGAUCAGAGGUACUUGCGGGGGAGCGGUGAAAUGUUGUAAUCCCGCAGGGACCACCAGUGGCGAAGGCGUCUGAUCAGAACGGCUCUGACGGUGAGGAACGAAACCCUGGGGCGCAAACGGGAUUAGAUACCCCGGUAGUCCAGGGCGUAAACGCUGCUGACUUGGUGUUGGGGAUCCUACGAGGAUGCCCAGUGCUGGCGCGAAGGUAUUAAGUCAGCCGCCUGGGGAGUACGGUCGCAAGACUGAAACUUAAAGGAAUUGGCGGGGGAGCACUGCAACGUGUGGAGCGUGCGGUUUAAUUGGAGUCAACGCCGG
rnacentral:rRNA from 1 species